rnacentral:piRNA from 1 species
UACAAGAUGGAUUAAGGACCGAUCAAACUGC